CCUACGGGAGGCAGCAGUGGGGAAUCUUGCGCAAUGGGCGAAAGCCUGACGUAGCAACGCCGCGUGAGGGACGAAGGUUUUCUGAAUUGUAAACCUCUUUCAGCAGGGAAGAUAAUGACGGUACCUGCAGAAGAAGCACCGGCUAACUACGUGCCAGCAGCCGCGGUGAUACGUAGGGUGCAAGCGUUGUCCGGAUUUAUUGGGCGUAAAGAGCUCGUAGGCGGUUUGGUAAGUCGGUUGUGAAAUCCCCAGGCUCAACCUGGGGCCUGCAUUCGAUACUGCCAUGACUAGAGUUUGGCAGGGGACCACGGGAAUUCCUGGUGUAGCGGUGGAAUGCGCAGAUAUCAGGAGGAACACCAGUAGCGAAGGCGGUGGUCUGGGCCAAUACUGACGCUGAGGAGCGAAAGCGUGGGGAGCAAACAGGAUUAGAUACCCUGGUAGUCCACGCCGUAAACGGUGGGCACUAGGUGUGGGGACUAUUCAACGGUUUCCGCGCCGACGCUAACGCAUUAAGUGCCCCGCCUGGGGAGUACGGCCGCCAAGGCGUAAAACUCAAAGGAAUUGACGGCNGAGAGUGCGACGCGACACGAGGAGAGG
rnacentral:rRNA from 1 species